CAAGUAUGAACUCCAGUGCUGAUCAUCGAUACUAAUCUCAUCUGGAAUUAUUCACUUAAAAUGGACAUAUUACAGAUUACAGGUUUCUCCAAGUCUGACUUUUGUCUCAGCUACUGGUUUCAGACCGUUGGAUUCCUAUCAGCGUCUCUGUUUUUGUACAACUAGUUCUGUACUGUGAUUGCAGAUUACUCAUGUACGAACUCUGGCUUAAUCUAAGGAUUGCAUAUUUCUCUUAAUACAUCGACUGGAUUUUUUAGUAAUGCCUUGGACUUGGCUGAAAGACUAGCUUCUAUCCAUUGCGUGGACAUUAAGGAUUACCUGUUAUAGGAGGCGAUUUGUUUAAUGACUUUCCUCCUCUUGCCAUCCAAGUUGAUUUCUGUUUUUUGGAACCGGAUCUGGCUAACUGGAUUUUCAUU